rnacentral:rRNA from 1 species
UGGGUAACCUGCCUGUAAGACUGGGAUAACUCCGGGAAACCGGGGCUAAUACCGGAUGCUUGAUUGAACCGCAUGGUUCAAUCAUAAAAGGCGGCUUCGGCUGCCGUUUACAGAUGGACCCGCGGCGCAUUAGCUAGUUGGUGAGGUAACGGCUCACCAAGGCGACGAUGCGUAGCCGACCUGAGAGGGUGAUCGGCCACACUGGGACUGAGACACGGCCCAGACUCCUACGGGAGGCAGCAGUAGGGAAUCUUCCGCAAUGGACGAAAGUCUGACGGAGCAACGCCGCGUGAGUGAUGAAGGUUUUCGGAUCGUACAGCUCUGUUGUUAGGGAAGAACAAGUACCGUUCGAAUAGGGCGGUACCUUGACGGUACCUAACCAGAGAGCCACGGCUAACUACGUGCCAGCAGCCGC